AUUGAACGCUGGCGGCAGGCCUAACACAUGCAAGUCGAGCGGAUGAAGGGAGCUUGUUCCUGGAUUCAGCGGCGGACGGGUGAGUAAUGCCCAGGAAUCUGCCUGGUAGUGGGGGAUAACGUCCGGAAACGGGCGCUAAUACCGCAUACGUUCUGAGGGAGAAAGUGGGGGAUCUUCGGACCUCACGCUAUCAGAUGAGCCUAGGUCGGAUUAGCUAGUUGGUGGGGUAAAGGCCUACCAAGGCGACGAUCCGUAACUGGUCUGAGAGGAUGAUCAGUCACACUGGAACUGAGACACGGUCCAGACUCCUACGGGAGGCAGCAGUGGGGAACAUUGGACAAUGGGCGAAAGCCUGAUCCAGCCAUGCCGCGUGUGUGAAGAAGGUCUUCGGAUUGUAAAGCACUUUAAGUUGGGAGGAAGGACAGUAAGUUAAUACCUUGAUGUUUUGACGUUACCAACAGAAUAAGCAACGGCUAACUACGUG
rnacentral:rRNA from 1 species